rnacentral:rRNA from 1 species
AAGAGACAGCAGCAGCCGCGGUAAUACAGAGGGUGCGAGCGUUAAUCGGAUUUACUGGGCGUAAAGCGUGCGUAGGCGGCUUUUUAAGUCGGAUGUGAAAUCCCUGAGCUUAACUUAGGAAUUGCAUUCGAUACUGGGAAGCUAGAGUAUGGGAGAGGAUGGUAGAAUUCCAGGUGUAGCGGUGAAAUGCGUAGAGAUCUGGAGGAAUACCGAUGGCGAAGGCAGCCAUCUGGCCUAAUACUGACGCUGAGGUACGAAAGCAUGGGGAGCAAACAGGAUUAGAGACCCCCGUAGUCCCUGUCUCUUAUAC